CUCUGGGUUCCCUGUUAACAAAUGAUGUGUGGCGAGGGCAGUAUGGCAAACCAUUUGAGCAGGCACUCCAGAAGCUCUACACCAGGUUCCCCCACUCAAUGCCAGAUGGUCUGUGGUCUGGUCUCACGGUGUAUCCCAUCAUGCCUGCCACCAUCAGAAGCCUCUGCAUCAGUGGUGCCAUACCCAGAUCAACCAUGACACGGGCACUGAUGCACCUCCUUACACCUUUCAGCACACUGAAUCUGACAUCCGUCUUUCCCCCAAAACAAGCUGAAAUAUGGAGAACAUGUUUCCACUCUCACUUUAUCUCAGAUGAGUUCGGGGCAGCGGACUUACUACAAGACCUACAUUUUUUUGCAAUCUUAAGCUGAGAAACAUUGUCUUUGGUGAACCACAACACACCAUUGCUUGCAAGUCUAAUCCUAAAUACAAUGAGGUUUAGCAAUGAAAACGCAAACAAAUUACAGAUGACCAAAUGACAGAACUAUCUUCACAGAGAAGACCAGAUGAAGACAACCAAAUGGCAAGAACUGGACAACAUCGCUGAAUCUACUGCAUCUUCAAUACUUUCUCUUACUUUUUUCUUACUCCUCUCGUUCAUUUCUGCAUCUUCUCUCCUCAUCACAUUA